rnacentral:rRNA from 1 species
CAAUAGCGUAUAUUUAAGUUGUUGCAGUUAAAAAGCUCGUAGUCGGAUUUUGGCUGAGAACGAUCGGUCCGCCGUUAGGUGUGCACUGAUUGGUCUCAGCUUCCUGGUGAGGAGGUGUGCUUCACGGCCACUUAGUCACCGUGGUUACUUUGAAAAAAUUAGGGUGUUCAAAGCGGGCUUACGCUUGAAUAUAUUAGCAUGGAAUAACACCAUAGGACUCCUGUCCUAUUUCGUUGGUCUCGGGACGGGAGUAAUGAUUAAGAGGAACAGUUGGGGGCAUUCGUAUUUCAUUGUCAGAGGUGAAAUUCUUGGAUUUAUGAAAGACGAACUUCUGCGAAAGCAUUUGCCAAGGAUGUUUUCAUUGA